ACUCGUCUUCAUUGCCAGCUUAUUUCUCUAUUAAUUCUAGGCGGCCUCCUCCACUGACUGCAUACAAGUUGAAGUGUGAUAAAGAUCCCUUGAAUUCUCGACUUGGCCCCCCCGACUUUCAUCCCCAGAUUCCAAAUUGCCCUGAGGAAACACUUACCAGGGAAUAUGUGCAGUCUGGAUACAGGGAGACAAUCGAGGGACUUGAGGAAGCUAGAGAGACU
rnacentral:misc_RNA from 1 species